GAUGAAGAACGUAGCGAAAUGCGAUACGUAAUGUGAAUUGCAGAAUUCAGUGAAUCAUCGAGUCUUUGAACGCACAUUGCGCCCCCUGGUAUUCCGGGGGGCAUGCCUGUUCGAGCGUCAUUUCACCACUCAAGCCUCGCUUGGUAUUGGGCAACGCGGUCCGCCGCGUGCCUCAAAUCGACCGGCUGGGUCUUCUGUCCCCUAAGCGUUGUGGAAACUAUUCGCUAAAGGGUGUUCGGGAGGCUACGCCGUAAAACAACCCCAUUUCUAAGGUUGACCUCGGAUCAGGUAGGGAUACCCGCUGAACUUAAGCAUAUCAAUAAGCGGAGGA
rnacentral:misc_RNA from 1 species